rnacentral:rRNA from 1 species
GAUGAAGGACGUGCUAAUCUGCGAUAAGCGUCGGUAAGGUGAUAUGAACCGUUAUAACCGACGAUUUCCGAAUGGGGAAACCCAGUGCAAUUCGUUGCACUAUCGUUUGAUGAAUACAUAGUCAAACGAGGCGAACCGAGGGAACUGAAACAUCUCAGUACCUCGAGGAAAAGAAAUCAACCGAGAUUCCCCUAGUAGCGGCGAGCGAACGGGGAGCAGCCCAGAGUCUUAAUCAGCAUUAGCAUCAGGAGAACGGUCUGGAAAGGCCGGCAGUAAAGGGUGAUAGCCCCGUAUCCGAAGGUGUUAGUGUUGUGAACUCGACGAGUAGGGCGGGACACGUGUUAUCCUGUCUGAAUAUGGGGGGACCAUCCUCCAAGGCUAAAUACUCCUGAUUGACCGAUAGUGAACCAGUACCGUGAGGGAAAGGCGAAAAGAACCCCGGCGAGGGGAGUGAAAUAGAACCUGAAACCGUGUACGUACAAGCAGUGGGAGCACCUUUGUGGUGUGACUGCGUACCUUUUGUAUAAUGGGUCAGCGACUUAUAUUCUGUAGCAAGGUUAACCGUAUAGGGGAGCCGUAGGGAAACCGAGUCUUAACUGG